GUUCAGGGAUGGGAUUCGAACCCACAGUGUUCCGCUUACCGGGCAGAUGCCAUGUCCACUAGGCUACCCUGGA
rnacentral:tRNA from 1 species